rnacentral:rRNA from 1 species
GAACGAACGCUGGCGGCGUGCUUAACACAUGCAAGUCGAACGCGAAAGGGACUUCGGUCCUGAGUAAAGUGGCGCACGGGUGAGUAACGCGUAGAUAACCUGUCUUCAUGUCUGGAAUAAUACGCCGAAAGGGGUACUAAUACCGGAUAUUCUUGCUUUUCAUAAGUUAUGCAAGCAAAGGUGGCCUCUGCAUAUGCUACUGCAUGAAGAGGGGUCUGCGUACCAUUAGCUAGUAGGUGGGGUAAUGGCCUACCUAGGCGACGAUGGUUAGCGGGUCUGAGAGGAUGAUCCGCCACACUGGCACUGGAACACGGGCCAGACUCCUACGGGAGGCAGCAGUGAGGAAUAUUGCGCAAUGGGGGAAACCCUGACGCAGCGACGCCGCGUGAGUUGAGGAAGGCCUUCGGGUCGUAAAGCUCUGUCAAGAGGAAAGAAGUGUACAAUGGCUAAUACCUGUUGUAUUUGACGGUACCUCUAAAGGAAGCACCGGCUAACUCCGUGCCAGCCGCCGC